rnacentral:rRNA from 1 species
GAUGAACGCUAGCUACAGGCUUAACACAUGCAAGUCGAGGGGCAGCAUGGUCUUAGCUUGCUAAGGCCGAUGGCGACCGGCGCACGGGUGAGUAACACGUAUCCAACCUGCCGUCUACUCUUGGACAGCCUUCUGAAAGGAAGAUUAAUACAAGAUGGCAUCAUGAGUACGCAUGUUCACAUGAUUAAAGGUAUUCCGGUAGACGAUGGGGAUGCGUUCCAUUAGAUAGUAGGCGGGGUAACGGCCCACCUAGUCUUCGAUGGAUAGGGGUUCUGAGAGGAAGGUCCCCCACAUUGGAACUGAGACACGGUCCAAACACCUACGGGAGGCAGCAGUGAGGAAUAUUGGUCAAUGGGCGAGAGCCUGAACCAGCCAAGUAGCGUGAAGGAUGACUGCCCUAUGGGUUGUAAACUUCUUUUAUAAAGGAAUAAAGUCGGGUAUGGAUACCCGUUUGCAUGUACUUUAUGAAUAAGGAUCGGCUAACUCCGUG